AUUAAAGUUGUUGCAGUUAAAAAGCUCGUAGUUGGACUUGUGUGCGCUGUCCGCGGGUGGCCUGCGCCCAAAAGGGCGUUUCGGUUCGGCCCCGGUGGCGCCUUGAAAUCUGCAGCUGGGGGGACGUUGGCCUUAACUGGUCGGCGACCGCACGCCGGCUGCUCGGUUACUGUGAGAAAAUUAGAGUGUUCAAGGCAGGCAUUGGGUGCAAUUGAAUACAUUAGCAUGGAAUAAUAAAAUAUGGCUCCUGCCGUAUUUUGUUGGUUUUGACUGGUGGGAGUAAUGAUUGAUAGGGACGGUUGGGGGUGCUAGUAUUGAGCGGCCAGAGGUGAAAUUCAUGGAUUCGCUCAAGGCUAACUUAUGCGAAAGCAUUCACCAAGGACGUCCUCUUUAAUCAAGAACGAAAGUUGGGGGAUCGAAGACGAUCAGAUACCGUCGUAGUCUCAACCAUAAACUAUGUCGACUUGGGAUCGGCGGUAGUUUUUUCAUUAAGACACUGUCGGGACCACGGGAGAAAUCAAAGUGUCUGGACUCUGGGGGAAGUAUGGUCGCAAGGCUGAAACUUGAAGGAAUUGACGUAAGGACACCACCAGGAGUGGAGCCUGCGGCUUAAUUUGACCCAACACGGGGAAACUUACCAGGUCCAGAGAUGUAGAGGAUUGACAGAUUGAAGCUCUUUCUUGAUCACUUCGGUGGUGGUGCAUGGCCGUUCUUAGUUGGUGGAGUGAUUUGUCUGGUUAAUUCCGUUAACGAACGAGACCUCAGCCUGCUAGUGUAGUCGGCUGGAUUGCCUUUGGCGAUCCGUGAUUUCGACUUCUUAGAGGGACAAUCGACGCGCAGUCGAUGGAAGUUUGAGGCAAUAACAGGUCUGUGAUGCCCUUAGAUGUUCUGGGCCGCACGCGCGCUACACUGCUGGGCUCAGCGAGUUUUACUUGGCCGAGAGGCCCGGUUAAUCUUGUGAAAUCCCAGCGUGCUUGGGCUCGCCUCCUGCAACUGGAGGCGCCAACGAGGAAUUCCUAGUAGACGCAGGUCAUCAACCUGCAUCGAUUACGUCCCUGCCCUUUGUACACACCGCCCGUCGUUCCAUAAGAGUGAGGCAUCCGGUGAAUUCUCGGGAGAGCCUGGGCGUGGCCAGCAAUGGUCUGCUCGGGUUUGAACUUGCAUAAACUUGGUGCCUAUGAUUAGGG
rnacentral:rRNA from 1 species